GGGGCUUACGAAGUUUUGGGUCUCUUCACCGAGCCCACUCUCCAACCCUUUGUGUACCUACCUCUGUUGCUUUGGCGGGCCGCGGUUCUCCGCGGCCGGCCCCCUGAUCGGGGCUGGCCCGCGCCCGCCAGAGGACCACAAAACUCCAGUCAGUGAACUUUGCUGUCUGAUAUAAAUUCAAUAAACUAAAACUUUCAACAACGGAUCUCUUGGUUCUGGCAUCGAUGAAGAACGCAGCGAAAUGCGAUAAGUAAUGUGAAUUGCAGAAUUCAGUGAAUCAUCGAAUCUUUGAACGCACAUUGCGCCCUUCGGUAUUCCGAAGGGCAUGCCUGUUCGAGCGUCAUUACACCCCUCAAGCCCUGCUUGGUGUUGGGCAGCGUCCUCUCGGACGCGCCUCAAAGACCUCGGCGGUGGCGUCUUGCCUCAAGCGUAGUAGAAAACACCUCGCUUUGGAGGACGGGACGACCGCUCGCCGGACGAACCUUUGAAUUCAUUUUCCUAGGUUGACCUCGGAUCAGGUAGGGGAUACCCGCUGAACUUAAGCAUUCAUAAAGAGCGACGAGUAAUUCGUUUUUUUUCCGGAACCCCCCCCAGCCCCUCUUCCACCCUUUGUGUUC
rnacentral:rRNA from 1 species